AGAGACAUCCAAGCAUGUGGGGGAGCAACUCAGAGAAAAACUCCUUGACACUAAACCACAGAAUUGUGGAACCACAGCUCCCCUCACCCUGUCAGCCAACAUGACCUGUCAGCUUGUCGCCGGUGGACACAGGAGCUGGUGCUGGGAUUUUGACAUCAAUGGAAAGACUUCAGCUCAAGUUGACUCAAGACGCAAAAUGUGGACAGAGGAACCUUCUGGACGCAGCUGCAUGAAAGACAACUGGGAGAAGGACAAGGAAAUGACCAGUAUCUUAUACAGGACCUCAGAGGGAGACUGUCAGAAAUGGCGUGAGGAGUUACUGAAGCACUUGAAAAGGCAGGAGGAGCCCACAGCACCUCCACCCACCACACAAAACUUGCCCCCAUCCAGCUCUGUGGUGAUCACUCCAAAUGUGUGGGUCCUGCUGCUGAUCAUCACCUGCUCCAUCCUAUGUUGUUUCUAUGGAGAGAUUCAGUGACAGGUUGACGGUGCUGGAGAGAAGCUCCUGAAAAGGUGAUCAAGUAAAAUUCAUCUCCUGAGUGGUCAUCUGCCAGUCCACCAUCCGCUGUCCAUUCCGAGGCUCCGGCAAGCCAUUGAGACUGGAGCUGGGCUGCCUGGUUCUCCUCUGCUUUCCCACAUGAAGUGAGGGGUCAGCGUGUCGCUUGAGGCCCACCAUGAUCCCACACAGACCUCUGUGGCGGCUUUGUUCCUCCUGACCACAGCAGCCCAUUCCUCUGGUGCUACCCAGUGGUCCUUGUCAUCCCAGAGCCCAGUUAUUGCCAGGAAGUUGCUCUGACUUCAACAUCUCGUGCCCUUUGGGCCAUUUAGGUUGCUCCCACUGUGCACUUUUAUUAACAUCUCAGGCCAUUUUCUCUUGGCGCCAACUGAAGGCAUCUUUCCCUUGGAUUCCUAAAUGCUUGAACUAAAGUCUGGACGGAGAGAGGAAUUUCUAUCUGCUGCUUUGUUGUAUGUGAUGAAAUAAUCCUCAGAGCCCUAACAGUAACCUUGUUGUAAGGAUCCUGCCACUGAAAUAUGUUGAACCUCACACUUCAGGGAUUAGUCGUAUAUCCUCUAUUUUUAAAAAGCAUUGAAUUCUUUUGAUUGUGUCCUUUAAUAACUUACCACCUGACAUUUAAAGGAAGCUCUUCAUUUUGAAACAAACA